UACGUAUGGGGCGAGCGUUGUUCGGAAUUAUUGGGCGUAAAGGGCGUCUAGGCGGGGAUUUAAGUUAGGUGUGAAAGCUAUGGGCUCAACCCAUAAACUGCAUCUAAAACUGGAUCUCUUGAGUUCGGGAGAGGAGAGCGGAAUUCCAGGUGUAGCGGUGAAAUGCGUAGAUAUCUGGAAGAACACCAGUGGCGAAGGCGGCUCUCUGGCCUAGAACUGACGCUGAAGCGCGAAAGCGUGGGGAGCGAACAGGAUUAGAAA
rnacentral:rRNA from 1 species